GAGCAAAUUAGAAUCCAAGGAAGUUGACAUGUCAUCACUUCAUUUUUUGUGCCUGCGCAUAAAUCUGAGAAACGUGAGUUUGUCAUCAUUUUUAUCUAGACAUAGGAUAGGUUGUGUGAAAAUAUUACUGAUGUUUAACGUUAAAAAUGGACCAAAAGAUUAAUGCUAAACAACAUUUGACAUGUUUGAACGAACAUAAAUAGAUUAUUUACUAGGUUUUUUAGCUUUUCGGCGUGAUUUUACCAGCCCCCAACCACGUUUUGUGGGAGCAUAAUGAACGCUAAGUACUUGGUGUUAUUUGGACAUAAAUUAUGAACUUUGUCAAAAGAAACCACAUUUGUUCCGGACCUGGAAUGCCUUCCGGACCUGGGAUCCUGCCUUCUGAUGGAGAUAAUCAAAGGCCGGUGGUGGCUGGCCCGCUCCAGGAGUCUGAGGUGCGGGAGGUUCCUCCUCCCCAGGCGUACUCCGUUCGCUCCAGGCGUCGGGCGAGGGGCCUUCAGUAUCGCGUGGAGUGGGAGGGGUACGGUCCGGAGGAGAGGUGAUGGGUUCCAGUCGAGGACGUGUUGGACCCUUCACUGCUGCAGGAGUUCCACCAUCUUUGUCUGGAUCGCCCUGCGCCUCACCCUCCGGGUCAUCCCCGAGGCCGGUGUCAGCGUGCUGCUGAGGCUGCGCGUCGGGGGGAACUGUCAUGACUUCCGCCAAAGUUGGUUCCUCUCCUUGUUCGAGCGGCGUUCAGCUGUCGGCGUCAUCAAUCCACUUUUCAUUUUCCAUUUGUUUUGUCUUGUCUUCCCACACACCUGGUUUCAAUUCCAUCAUUACAUGUUGUGUAUUUAACCCUCUGUUCCCCCCAUGUCCUUGUCCAGAAUUGUUUUUUGUAAGUGCAUGUGCACGUUUAUCUGGUGUGCGACGGGUUUUGUACCCAUUGAGUGUUUGUUCUGAUUCCGGUGGUUUUUAUUAUUAAACUGCUCCAUUGUAAACACAGUUUUUGCUCUUACAUUUUAGUCAUUUAGCAGACACUCUUAUGCAGAGCGACUUACAGUAGUGAAUGCAUACAUUUCAUUUCAUAAUUUUUUUUUUCUGUGCUGGCCCCCCGUGGGAAUCGAACCCACAACCCUGGAGUUGCAAACACCAUGCGUUGCAAACACCAUGCUCUACCAACUAAGCUACAGGGAAGGCCCUCUUCUGCGCCUGACUUCUUUGCUGCCAGUAUGCACCCCUUACAAUACCGUAUAAUAUUAAAGAUUACACCAGCUGUGACACAGGAAGGCGAGGAAACCCCAGGGUACCAUGGAAACCUCAAGGGAGAGUAAACGAGAGAGUCCCUAUAAAGUAGGCCAGCAGUGGGUCAAACUUUCAGCCUAUAACAAUAUUGAUGAUGAUUGUGGUGAUUAUAGUCAUGUAUAGAAGAAGUGAAUAAUAUGUCACAGGUAAUUUAAGAAUCUAAGAGCAGCUGUAGAGAUAAACAUAAUUCAUGAAUCAUGACCGAGUGAUAACAAUUUGACAUGGACUAAUCUCUUUCUAAUGGAAUUUUUCAAAGCUAUAUCCCUCCUUUCCCCAAUAGUUGACAAUUCCUGUUAAUUAUGAACUUUCUCUCUCCUCACUUGGGUAGCCAUUCUGAAUAAUUACUUGAGUCAAUGACCAUAACAAAAGUGAAAAGAUUGAUAAAUGUGGUUUUGAUUCAGGCUAGAGAUUCAGGCGCACAGAUUGAUGACGUUGCGGAAAGCUCUUUUAAUUGACUGCCACGUGCAGUCAGUCAACUGCUACAAUCUUUGCUAGCUGCUUUCUGAAGG
rnacentral:lncRNA from 1 species